GAUGGCUGAUGUGUGUGCAUCUGCAGACAUGUACACAAACACACGCUUUAAAAUGCCUCAAAUGUACCAAGGUGAGGAGGGUAUAAUAGGUAGGUUGUGAGGGAUUAAUUUUCUCUUGUCUGGUGAUUGUGGAUUUCAAAUCUAUUCAUGAAACUCUCUUUUGUGCAUCUGAUUUCUGUGGCCUUCUUUAAUAAGUUCAUUACUGCUUUUCCUUAGCUUUUUGCUUUUCUGGUUUACUUUUUUUUUUUUGCCUUUUUCUCAAUUUUCAGGAACCAGUCAAUAAAUGAUAGUUUGUAGUAUCUGGCAGGAAGUGUUCAUUUUCUGGUGCUAACAGGGAAGUUGGUUU